rnacentral:rRNA from 1 species
UGAGCAAUCUGCCCUUCUCUUCGGAAUAAGCGUGGGAAACCGCGUCUAAUGCCGAAUACGACCUCCUUUCGCAUGAUCGGAGGUGGAAAGCUCCGGCGGAGAAGGAUGAGCUCGCGGCCUAUCCGCUAGUUGGUGUGGGUAAUGGCCCACAAGGCGACGACGGGUAGCCGGCCUGAGAGGGUGACCGGCCACACUGGGACUGAGACACGGCCCAGACUCCGUACGGGNGCAGCAGG